CUGGCUUCUUCUGCUCGGUGGGCUCCAGGCUGAGGUAGUAGGUUGUAUAGUUGAGGAUAACACCAAAGGAGAUAACUGUACAGCCUCCUAUCUUUCCCUGGGGCUUUGCCAUAACAACAAAGCCUCU
rnacentral:precursor_RNA from 14 species